rnacentral:rRNA from 1 species
UACGGAGGGUGCAAGCGUUGUCCGGAAUCACUGGGCGUAAAGCGCGCGUAGGCGGCCUCAUAAGUCCGUUGUGAAAGUCAAAGGCUCAACCUUUGAAAGCCGAUGGAUACUGUGAGGCUAGAGUCCGGAAGAGGCGAGUGGAAUUCCUGGUGUAGCGGUGGAAUGCGCAGAUAUCAGGAGGAACACCAAUGGCGAAGGCAGCUCGCUGGGACGGUACUGACGCUAAGGCGCGAAAGCGUGGGGAGCGAACAGG